rnacentral:rRNA from 1 species
UACAGAGUGCUCAAGCGUUUGUUCGGAUUGCAUUAGGGGCGUAAAGGGUGCGUAGGGCGGCGCGGAUAAGUCGGGUAGUCGAAACUCUUGGAGCUUAACUCCGAAACUGCCAUUCGAUACUGCCGUGCUUGGAGGAUGGAGAGGAGACUAGUAAUUUACGGUGUAGCGGUGAAAUGCGUAGAUAUCGUAAGGAAGACCAGUGGCGAAGGCGGGUCUCUGGAACAGUUCCGAUGACGGCUGAGGCACGGAAGGCCCAGGGGAGCAAACGGG